UUCCUGCUCAACAAGGGAUACGAGGUGCACGGCCUGAUCCGUCGCUCCUCCAACUUCAACACGCAGCGCAUCGACCACAUAUACGUCGAUCCCCACAACGCCCACAAGGCGCGCAUGAAGCUCCACUACGCCGAUCUCACCGACGCCUCCUCGCUCCGCCGCUGGCUCGACACUAUUCUUCCCGACGAGGUCUACAACCUCGCCGCCCAGUCUCACGUCGCCGUCUCCUUCGAGAUCCCCGACUACACCGCCGACGUCGUCGCCACCGGCGCCCUGCGCCUCCUCGAGGCCGUCCGCUCCCACAUCGCUGACUCCGGCCGCUCCCACAUCCGCUACUACCAGGCCGGCUCCUCCGAGAUGUUCGGGUCCACCCCGCCGCCGC
rnacentral:lncRNA from 1 species